rnacentral:rRNA from 1 species
UACGUAGGGUGCGAGCGUUGCCCGGAUUUAUUGGGCGUAAAGGGCGCGUAGGCGGCUCUGCACGUCCGUUGUGAAAUCGCCCGGCUCAACUGGGCGGGGUCAGCGGAUACGGCAGAGCUCGAGCAAGCUAGGGGGCAAUGGAAUUCCCGGUGUAGUGGUGGAAUGCGUAGAUAUCAAGAGGAACACCUGAGGUGAAGACGGGUUGCUGGGCUGACACUGACGCUGAUGCGCGAAAGCCAGGGGAGCAAACGGG